GGAGAAAGAGGUUUUUCAUUUUUAUAUACGGAGGGAAAGUGUCGAAUAUGGUAGUUAAUUAAUUGCGACUUUGAUAUCAUCGCGUACCCGAAACCGUUUGCUUUGUUUUUGUAGGUUUCAAUCAAUAUCAAACAUGUAGGUUUCAUCCCCUCCAACAGAUUUCUCAUUAUGAAAUAUUGCUCAUUAUGAAACAUGUAGGUUUUAUCCCCUCCAACAGAUUUCUCAUUAUGAAAUAUUGCUACAAAGGUUCCUCAUUUCAAUCAAUAUCAAACAUGUAGGUUUCAUCCCCUCCAACAGAUUUCUCAUUAUGAAAUAUUGCUACAAAGGUUCCUCGUAUGGUGAGGAUUACCACAAGAAAAAAAGUUCAAAAUUCCCCAGACUAAUAAUCUUACAAUGUAGUUCCAAAUUCCCCAGACUAAUAAACUUACAAUGUUUUAGGCUCCACCAACACUACCUGUCACCAGAUUGAGCCACA
rnacentral:lncRNA from 1 species